rnacentral:rRNA from 1 species
GACGAACGCUGGCGGCGUGCUUAACACAUGCAAGUCGAACGGAAAGGCCCUGCUUUUGUGGGGUGCUCGAGUGGCGAACGGGUGAGUAACACGUGAGUAACCUGCCCUUGACUUUGGGAUAACUUCAGGAAACUGGGGCUACUACCGGAUAGGAGCUCCUGCUGCAUGGUGGGGGUUGGAAAGUUUCGGCGGGUGGGGAUGGACUCGCGGCUUAUCAGCUUGUUGGUGGGGUAGUGGCUUACCAAGGCUUUGACGGGUCGCCGGCCUGAGAGGGUGACCGGGCACAUGGGGACUGAGAUACGGCCCAGACGCCUACGGGAGGCAGCAGUGGGGAAUAUUGCACAAUGGGCGCAAGCCUGAUGCAGCAACGCCGCGUGCGUGAUGACGGCUUUCGGGUUGUAAACCGCUUUCGCCUGUGACGAAGCGUGAGUGACGGUAAUGAGUAAAGAAGCACCGGCUAACUACGUG